AGUGAACGCUGGCGGUAGGCCUAACACAUGCAAGUCGAACGGCAGCACAGUAAGAGCUUGCUCUUACGGGUGGCGAGUGGCGGACGGGUGAGGAAUACAUCGGAAUCUACUUUUUCGUGGGGGAUAACGUAGGGAAACUUACGCUAAUACCGCAUACGACCUACGGGUGAAAGCAGGGGAUCUUCGGACCUUGCGCGAUUGAAUGAGCCGAUGUCGGAUUAGCUAGUUGGCGGGGUAGAGGCCCACCAAGGCGACGAUCCGUAGCUGGUCUGAGAGGAUGGUCAGCCACACUGGAACUGAGACACGGUCCAGACUCCUACGGGAGGCAGCAGUGGGGAAUAUUGGACAAUGGGCGCAAGCCUGAUCCAGCCAGACCGCGUGGGUGAAGAAGGCCUUCGGGUUGUAAAGCCCUUUUGUUGGGAAAGAAAAGCAGCAGGUUAAUACCCCGCUGUUCUGACGGUACCCAAAGAAUAAGCACCGGCUAACUUCGUG
rnacentral:rRNA from 1 species